rnacentral:lncRNA from 1 species
CCAAGACCCCCCGUGGGCUCAGCAGUUCCCCCCCCUCCAUAGAGCGAUAUCUUUUUUGGGGGAGCCUAGCAGUUUAUUGAGAGAGAGCCCCCGUUUCGUACCAGCCACCCGUGUAAGCGGAUGCCCGGUGGGUUUUAGUCUGUUUAGGGAGCUGUGCUGCCAGCACCUCCGCUUCCAGGGCGUCCCCCCACCCCAGGGACAGCCUGUUCCCUGGGCAGUCCACCCGCCCCUCCUCACCUGCGGCCCUACGGCCCCUCGUCCCUGAGGAUCUGCUGUUCCGUGCGCGUUUGAAAACCCCGAUGCCUCCUGCCCCCCAAGGGGACCCCAGAUGACCCCCGCACGCGGGCCCCUCUCCCGUGGGCGGCUCUGGGCCGGGCGUGUCCAGGGCCUCACGGUCCCGCCCCCCCCAGGCCCUGCAGGCUCUUCCGGCACAGGGCGAGUCGCUCCUCCAGCUGGCGCACGAGCUGGGCCUGCGCGUCUUCAACCGGCACCUGGUGCAGAGCAAGCAGCAGGGCGGGCAGCUGCAGGCCUUCCAGCAGCGCUUCCGGCAGUACCUGCGCCUGCUGGCCUCCGACGCCCAGUGCUCGCUUUGCUCGCGUCUUCCCGGUCACCUUCAGCUCGUUGUCCAUCUGGGAGAGCUGACCUGAGGCCUUGAGGAGUGACCAGAGCCUGGGCUUCCUCUGGACCUGCUGCCGUCACGUCCUUGUCCUAACUGGCUGUCCGUGCCCUAGUCCUUGGCGUAUGAUAAAUCUUUUGAGA